rnacentral:rRNA from 1 species
UAUGGUGCUUAUAGAGAAGUGGAAAUACCUAGAACCAUUCCGAACCUAGAAGUCAAGCACUUCAUCGCUGAUAAUACUGCAUCUUUCAGAUGUGGAAAUGUAGGUCAGUGCCAUAU